AACGUAGGAGGCGAGCGUUAUCCGGAUUUACUGGGCGUAAAGCGUGCGUAGGCGGUUGGUCAAGUCAGAUGUUAAAGCCCCUGGCUCAACUGGGGGAGGUCAUUUGAUACUGAUCGGCUUGAGGGUGAGAGAGGAGAGCGGAAUUCCCGGUGUAGCGGUGGAAUGCGUAGAGAUCGGGAGGAACACCAGUGGCGAAAGCGGCUCUCUGGCUCACAUCUGACGCUGAGUGCACGAAAGCGUGGGUAGCAAACGGG
rnacentral:rRNA from 1 species